rnacentral:rRNA from 1 species
UACGAAGGGUGCAAACGUUGCUCGGAAUUAUUGGGCGUAAAGCGCACGUAGGCGGCUUAGCAAGUCGGAAGUGAAAUCCCACGGCUCAACCAUGGAAGUGCUUUCGAAACUGCUGAGCUUGAGUACUUAAGAGGAUCGCGGAAUUCCCGGUGUAGAGGUGAAAUUCGUAGAUAUCAGGAGGAACACCGGUGGUGUAGACGGCUCACUGGACCAUAACUGACGCUGAGACACGAAAGCGUGGGUAGCAAACAGG